rnacentral:tRNA from 1 species
CAAGCUAGAGCUUGUUUAUAAAGCGUUUUAUUUACAUUAAAGAGUUAUCUGUGAAAUUCAGUUUAGCUUGA